rnacentral:rRNA from 1 species
CCUACGGGAGGCAGCAGUAGGGAAUCUUCCGCAAUGGACGAAAGUCUGACGGAGCAACGCCGCGUGAACGAUGAAGGCCUUCGGGUCGUAAAGUUCUGUUGUCAGGGAAGAACAAGUACCGGAGUAACUGCCGGUACCUUGACGGUACCUGACCAGAAAGCCACGGCUAACUACGUGCCAGCAGCCGCGGUAAUACGUAGGUGGCAAGCGUUGUCCGGAAUUAUUGGGCGUAAAGCGCGCGCAGGCGGUUCCUUAAGUCUGAUGUGAAAGCCUCCGGCUCAACCGGGGAGGGUCAUUGGAAACUGGGGAACUUGAGUGCAGAAGAGGAGAGCGGAAUUCCACGUGUAGCGGUGAAAUGCGUAGAGAUUUGGAGGAACACCAGUGGCGAAGGCGACUAUCUGGUCUGUAACUGACACUGAGGCGCGAAAGCGUGGGGAGCAAACAGGAUUAGAUACCCUGGUAGUCCACGCCGUAAACGAUGAGUGCUAAGUGUUAGGGGGUUUCCGCCCCUUAGUGCUGCAGCUAACGCAUUAAGCACUCCGCCUGGGGAGUACGGUCGCAAGACUGAAACUCAAAGGAAUUGACGG